GACAGAGGCCUCGAGCGUUUAGGCGGAAUCACUGGGCUUAAAGCGCGUGUAGGCGGAUCGUUAAGUACUUUGUGAAAUCCCACGGCUCAACCGUGGAACUGCUGAGUAUACUGGCGAUCUUGGGCCAUUCAGGGGUUGCCGGAACAAGCGGUGGAGCGGUGAAAUGCGUAGAUAUCGCUUGGAACGCCAAAGGUGAAGACAGGCAACUGGGGGAUGUGCCGACGCUGAGACGCGAAAGCCAGGGGAGCAAACGGG
rnacentral:rRNA from 1 species